AUGUCAUGUGGGCAGUCUAAAUGCAGUGAUAGUGGACCUUUUCUAUUGGCAUGUACAACAUUGCUUGCCACAGGCAAUAUACAAAAGACCAAUUUGGUUAAAUUAAGAAAAAAAAAGUAUAUACAAAGAAGCACAUCUCUUCAUGCACAUAUAGUGAAAAAUAAUGUUUUGUAACUUCUUAAAUGUAUGAAAGUAUACAAAGAAAUUAUUCCAAACUACUCGUAUUUAAACAUAUAUGUAAAAGUAUUUAUCUGAGUAAUUGUACUGUGUAACUGCUUAUUCUUCCAUCAGUGACCAGAAGGUGGUAUCUACUUCUUAAAACACCAAAGAAGUAUUUGCCAAACAACAGCAAAAAAAAAAUCACUUGGGUAACUUGUUCAGUUUGGUUGAAUGUGGGAACUGUUACUCACGGCUUUCGCACAAAUGAAUAAUCUCACUGGUCAAGAGCUGGAGCAUCUCUCUGCCAUGGCUGCCUGUACUGUUUUUAGCUAUUCUUGCACAGGUCCAACCUUCUUCUGCGUGCUUCAAAGCAAAAGUCUUUUUUCCAUAAUGGAUUCUUAAUACUGUCUCAACAUUUCCAUUGCCACACAAACCCUGUGUGGAAAGAUGAGUAAUAUUUAUUGCCAAUUUGCAUCUGUUUUGCUGAUUGCUUUGCUUUAGUCAAGGCACAUCAGGUGCUUUAAGGAAUAAUUGCUAGAGUUCAUCACAGGCAUGUGUGAGCCUGUUGAGGGUAAUGAAUCAGUAGAGGUUACUGGGAUUAUCCACAGAAGGAAAAACUAUUUUAGGGAUGAAAAUGGCUGAAAAAAAGAGAAAAUAUAUUAAGGGAUGUGAUAAAGCAAACAGAGUUUUAGAUUUUGUGUGGAAAAUUUGACUGGACACAGUACUACAGUGAGAAGGACAGAGCAUCUUGAAUGCAAGGGACUCCUAAAUGAAGAAAUUAGUUCACCACAGAGCUUGACCCUUAAAAAUAAUGCAUUAAUAAAAAAUCUUGGUAACAGUCUCA
rnacentral:lncRNA from 1 species